rnacentral:rRNA from 1 species
GAGGGCGCCGCUUAAUUUGGAGCCUGCGGGAAAACUUACCCGGCCCGGAGAAACUCACGAGGCCCGGACACUGAAAGGAUUGACGAACUGAGAGCUGGUGGUUGAUGUGGUGGGUGGUGGCGCGGGGCCGUUCGUAGGGGGUGGAGUGAUUUGUCUGCUUAAUUGCGAUAACGAACGAGACUGCCGGCUACUUAAUACCUGCACGGGGUGGUCGUGCGAGCUGUGGGGGGCGCUCACCCCCUCUCCGCUCUCGCGCGGUCUGUGAUGCCCUUCUAUGUCGGGGCCGCACGCGUGUUACACUGAAGUGAUCAGCGUGCUCAACACCCUCUCUGUGAACAGUGAGGAACCGGGUCACCCUUCCUCUACAUUGAAAUGUGAAAUGGGUAUUUUUGCCACUUAACGAGGGAUUCCCGCUAAGAACGAGUCGUAGAACUGCUGUAAUUACUUCCCUGCCCUUUGUACACACCGCCCGUCGCUACUACCGAUUGAAGAUUUAUAGAAGUCGCGAUACUGCCUGAU